GCCGCUCUCCGGACGGUCGCAAUUCCCGUUUCGGCGGGGCUUGAGGAAAGUCCGGACACCACAGGGCAGCGCGCCCCGUGAAAGCGGGGGACGCCGGUCACGAAUGGCCGGUGGACGGAAAGUGCAGCAGAGAGCAAACCGCCGAUGGCCCGCAAGGGCACAGGUAAGGGUGAAAGGGUGGGGUAAGAGCCCACCGCGCCGAGGGUGACCGAGGUGGCAUGGCAAACCCCACGCGGUGCAAGACAGAACAGGGGAAGGGUUGUCCGCCCGUUUGAUCCCCGGGUAUUAGUCGCAUCCCGUUUCGGCGGGACGCUCCGUUUCGGCGGGGUGGAGAGAAAUGGCCGUCCAGUUCCGCUUUGCGGGAUGGACAGAAUCCGGCUUACAGGAGAGCGGCAGUU
rnacentral:RNase_P_RNA from 1 species